UACGGGGGGGGCAAGCGUUGUUCGGAAUUACUGGGCGUAAAGGGCUCGUAGGUGGCCAACUAAGUCGGACGUGAAAUCCCUCGGCUUAACCGGGGAACUGCGUCCGAUACUGGUUGGCUUGAGUUUGGGAGAGGGAUGCGGAAUUCCAGGUGUAGCGGUGAAAUGCGUAGAUAUCUGGAGGAAUACCGGUGGCGAAGGCGGCAUCCUGGACCGACAUUGACGCUGAUGAGCGAAAGCCAGGGGAGCAAACGGG
rnacentral:rRNA from 1 species